UCUAACCAGCUGAGCUACCUGAACCACUUUCCUAAAGUAUGUUUUCUUCAUCGAAUAGCGCCCUACUUACCACUUGACUAGUAAGGGAAAAGCCCUUUACUAAUAACUUAAAAGAAAGGGCUUUUUUCGUUCGUCAAGCUUUCGAGCAGCUCUUUCAACUGCCGCCUAAUCUCCUCUCCCAACAUAACAUGCUCAAGAACCGAGAGC
rnacentral:lncRNA from 1 species